UUGUGGAAGACCAACGCAGCCGUGGUGUGCUCACCUGUGGGGACAGACGGCAGAGCCUCAGUUUCCCUAUCUGCCACAGGGCCUGCCAUUCGCUGGCACAGCUGUGGAGCCUGUGAUGGGAUUUGGGAUUCCUCUAGACUGGAGAAGAAAGAAGUGGGGGUUCCAGGCACCCUGCCCAGAGUUAACCCUCACUUCCAGAAUGGGCAUGCACUGUUAACUCCAGCUCAACUGAAACUGUUGUCUCAGUGAGACCCCCAUUUAUGGAGGGCCAGACACUAUCCUCCCCCCCUCCCCUUUAUUGCACCAGAUUCUGAGCUCAUACUCACGCCUCUGCGGCUGACUUCGUAAUGAGGCCUCUCUUUGUCCUACCCAGACCGAGCUAGGCAGAUGUGAAGCGAGAGCCCUAUCUAGGGGCCCCAGUGCCAAGUGGCCAAACCUCUGGUCACAGGACUCUUGGGCUUGCCACCAGCUCAGCCGCUGUCCUGUGAAUUCGCACAACGCCUCUGUGGUCUGCAGCAUCUCACCUGGGGCAGCUGGGACUGGAGGUCAUAGGAGAGUGAGCGCAGGAGAGAAUUUUAUGGGCAUCUCACCCUUUUGGACAGGGCCAAAGUCAGUUCUGAGUCUGUUGGGCCAGGCCAGGACUGUCUACUCUGUGACUCGGCCCCUGGAGUCUUUCUAUACAACAGGAAUGUGAUGGAGCCUCCCACAGGGAUUUGAAGGAAACACUACCUCCUCCCCUUUUCUGUAUAGUUCAGACCAAUAUGCCAACCAGGUGACACAGCUGGGCUGUAUCUAUAAAGGACCUUUCUGAAAGGACCUUUCAUACCAACCUGUAGCCAAAGGGUUCCUUUAUUCGCCUGGAGAGUUAGAGAAGGUCCCAGGGAGACUUCUGAUCUGAGAGAGAAUAUGGAUGUAACUUCGGAUAGGCACUUCUCACCAGUGUUGAAUACCUACUGUGUGCUCCAGGGGUGACGUGUUGGUUGAAUGUCAGGAGCAUAGCACACAGUAGUUGCUAUUGUUCUGUGUAUAUGCAAGGGUUUAACUUUAACAUUCUUUGAAGUGUGGUAGCCACUUGGCAAAUGAACAACUUUGGGUUCCCUUGACCUCCCCGGGGCUGAACUCUUCCCUCCAGAAAUUCAGGUACCAGAAGAUAGAGGAGGCAGUGACUCGGAGACAUCUUUCCGGAUGCAGCCAUGGCAGACCUCACUGAGCUGGGAGCCAAAGCUGUGGGGCUAGAGCUCAGGAAAAGGGAUGGCAUUUGCUUGUACAAAAGGAUGGUCUCCAGGAGCAUCUUCAGGAUCGCAGACUGGGAACCGUAACCCUGGUAUUUGUUUGAGUCAGGGUCAGCCAUGUAGCUAUGCUGGCCUUUGAGUCCUCCUACCUGAAGAUGCAACUGUGGACUGCCACACUCACCCAUUUAAGCAUCAUCCAUUUCCAUACCCCACCCUGUUUCUUAAGACCUUUGACGACACUGUCCCCUCUACCUGGAUCAGCCUCCCACACCCUCAGUUGUCCCUUCUUCAGGAUAGAUUCUCAGUCCCCACCCCCCACCAACAUUAGUGGUAGACCUAUCCUAGCCCCGAUGUACAAACUGGGGAUACGGUAGCCAUGGGUGAUUUGGAGACUGCUCCUGGCAAGCUACAGGGAUUGGCCUUCUGGGUCUCUGUCCCAGCCCUGGCAUGCACAAAUGACUUAGACAACACACUGUCCUUGCCUCAUGCCAUUUGGGAGUCUGGCCCCUCACAAUAAUAAUGCAUACCCUUUCUUUAUAUAAAAAUACGUCCCGGGCUCAGGAGGACUCAGAAGUGCACAUUCUCGGGACCCUGAGAAUCGCCAAUUUAUUGUAGUUUUGCCACUUUUAAAAUAAUACCUGUUUCUACCUGUCCCAUCUCAACAAAAGUGGGUAGGAAAUAGUAGCUGGGAGCUGAGGUUCAAUUAUCACUAUAUGCAGUGUGGAUCGUAGUGAUGCUGUGUCCCUUCUGUCUGCACCCUCCAGCCCCGUGUGGCCCACCUCUCUCCCUCAAAUAAAUUUGACUGCCACCACGGGUCUCCUCUCCACGAGAGAACUCUGAGACAUCCCCAUCAGGCUGAUGAGGCCUAGGACCUGAGCCUCUCUUCACUGCUGGUCCCUCUUCUCAUCCCAGUCCCUGGUUCUCACCUGCUUUACUGGUGCUGUCCUCUACCGGCCCACCAGGCCACUGUCAGCUCUGCUUUUGGAGCCGGCUCUCUGCUAGGCAGCCUAGCCAGUCGGGUCCCGAAGGAUAGGGGCGGGACUCUGUGACUCCUCCCAGAGACCUGCCCCCUUGUGUCUAAGAGAGAACUUUUAGCGGCUGCACAGAACGUGACAGUUGACCUGUUCUUCUACCGGCACACAGGUGAAGGCUUCCUAUUAGAAAGAGUAGCGCUGUGAGACUUGGAUAAAGAAUGAACUUGGGGAUGCUAAAGGGUCCUUGUAAUUCUGGAUACCUUAGGUAACCAAGCUAGUGGGAGCAGAGGGAACCAACCCUCAGCAUAUUGCUACCUUGAAUUGCUCCCCCAGCCUGCCUCCCCUUACAUCCACCCCACUACGAGGACAGUUGGCACAGCCUGUUUUGCAGGAAAACCAUGGACAAUUAGUUUCAACCGGAGCCAUUCUCAUGGAAGGUGGGAGGGGCGGGGCAUCGCCAAGAGGACAAUGGAAAGCUAAGGGCGGGGUGCUGGAGGCCCACCCCACCUGCCUCAGUGGUUUUAACCUCAAGGACUUCUGCUUGGGAGUGAAAUCUGGCUUGAUGACCCUGCCACCAAGGCCUCGGGUCCACACUGCCAUGUUCAUACUGCCUCCUGGGUGAAUAUUACCUGCCAUCGAUCCUCAGCUUCAGCAAGUGUAAGUGGAGGAUGACAAACAGGAUUGAGGUGGGGUUGCUGUGCCAGUUCAGCAUCUUUGAAACUGUGAUCAAACACACAGCACAUUGAAUGUACUAUCCACGAUAGU